GUGGGGAAUAUUGCACAAUGGGGGGAACCCUGAUGCAGCAACGCCGCGUGAAGGAAGACGGUUUUCGGAUUGUAAACUUCUAUCAAUAGGGACGAAAGAGAUGACGGUACCUAAAUAAGAAGCCCCGGCUAACUACGUGCCAGCAGCCGCGGUAAUACGUAGGGGGCAAGCGUUAUCCGGAAUUACUGGGUGUAAAGGGUGAGUAGGCGGCACUGUAAGUAAGAUGUGAAAGCCUUAGGCUUAACCUGAGGAUUGCAUUAUAAACUGCAGAGCUAGAGUACAGGAGAGGAAAGCGGAAUUCCUAGUGUAGCGGUGAAAUGCGUAGAUAUUAGGAAGAACACCAGUGGCGAAGGCGGCUUUCUGGACUGGAAACUGACGCUGAGGCACGAAAGCGUGGGGAGCGAACAGGA
rnacentral:rRNA from 1 species